rnacentral:rRNA from 1 species
GGGUGGCGAGUGGCGGACGGGUGAGGAAUACAUCGGAAUCUACUUUUUCGUGGGGGAUAACGUAGGGAAACUUACGCUAAUACCGCAUACGACCUACGGGUGAAAGCAGGGGAUCUUCGGACCUUGCGCGAUUGAAUGAGCCGAUGUCGGAUUAGCUAGUUGGCGGGGUAAAGGCCCACCAAGGCGACGAUCCGUAGCUGGUCUGAGAGGAUGAUCAGCCACACUGGAACUGAGACACGGUCCAGACUC